AUUGAACGCUGGCGGCAGGCCUAACACAUGCAAGUCGAGCGAGCGGCGGAAGGGUGAGUAAUGUAUGGGGACUGCCCGAUAGAGGGGGGUAACUACUGGAAAAGGGAGCUAAUACCGCAUACUAUCGGCUAAACCAUAUGGCAUGAGCUAGUGGGUGAGGUAAUGGCUCACCUAGGCUACGAACCCUAGCUGGUCUGAGAGGAUGAUCAGCCACACUGGGACUGAGACACGGCCCAGACUCCUACGGAGGCAGCAGUGGGGAAUAUUACACAAUGGGCGCAAGCCUGAUGCAGCCAUGCCGCGUGUAUGAAGAAGGCCCUAGGGUUGUAAAGUACUUUCAGUCGGGAGGCGUUACCGACAGAAGAAGCACCGGCUAACUCCGUGCCAGCCGCCGCGGUAAUUC
rnacentral:rRNA from 1 species